UACAGAGGUCUCAAGCGUUGUUCGGAUUCAUUGGGCGUAAAGGGUGCGUAGGUGGCGGGGUAAGUCAGGUGUGAAAUCUCGGGGCUCAACCCCGAAACUGCACUUGAUACUGCCUUGCUCGAGUACUGGAGAGGAGAUUGGAAUUUACGGUGUAGCAGUGAAAUGCGUAGAUAUCGUAAGGAAGACCAGUGGCGAAGGCGAGUUCCUGGACAGUUACUGACACUGAGGCACGAAGGCCAGGGGAGCAAACGGG
rnacentral:rRNA from 1 species